CCUGUCAGGUGAUCAGUGAGUGACACACAAAAUGGCGUAACAGUUAGAACCUGCAUUAUUUCCUGUCAGGUGAUCAGGGAGUGACACACAAAAUGGCGUAACAGUUAGAACCUGCAUUAUUUCCUGUCAGGUGAUCAGUGAGUGACACACAAAAUGGCGUAACAGUUAGAACCUGCAUUAUUUCCUGUCAGGUGACACACAAAAUGGCGUAACUGUUAGAACCUGCAUUAUUUCCUGUCAGGUGAUCAGGGAGUGACACACAAAAUGGCGUAACAGUUAGAACCUGCAUUAUUUCCUGUCCGGUGAUCAGGGAGUGACACACAAAAUGUCGUAACAGUUAGAACCUGCAUUAUUUCCUGUCAGGUGACACACAAAAUGGUGGGAUAAACAUGUAAACAAUUCCUGCAGGUCCCAACGGCAAGGUAGUUUCCCUGAUAGCCCUAAUGUGCUUCAGCAAGGAAAUAAAUCACAAAACUCUGUUACAUUUGCCGUCAGUCGCUGACAGGGGAUAUAAAUGCAAGUAGCGACGAGCAGUAAAUGGGAGGGGAUCUGGGGCAGGUAACGGCAAUUUAAAGCACACAGAACAGUAGAAUUACCGGGGGUAUAAAGUUGUGGGGCAAACCCCUAAUGGUUUCAGUCAGUUACUUUAGACCCCAUCCCGAUGCUCCUCUUCUUGUGAUAAUGCAGCGGCCCAGGGCACUUCCUUCUCAGGGCCUUGCCCACACACUUCCGGUACCCAGGCUUACCACCUUUUCUGGAUAAAAAUACCAACAUUCCUAUAUCUUUCUUCCCUGAUAAUAACAUUGGGAUAAAGCAUCAUUUGCACUGGUCAGGCCAGUAGAAUACCAGACAGGUGACAACUCUACUGGUCUCCCAGCAUCCUUUGCUCCAGUUUCUGUGCUCUUCAUGCACAUACACAGUGGCCAUUGGGGCACUUUUGUAGUAGUGCCGGGCCAGAGUCAGAAGUAAAUGACAAAAAUAACUGGAGUGCAUAACAACUUGGCCCCCCACCAGUGAUUCUACCUUUCCUCCCCUAAUCACACCCUGUGUGCCAUCACGUAGAUUUAGUAAUGUCUUGCCAUCAAAUAUUUUUUACUUUCCGUGAGGUUUAUGUUUAUUUCUGCUUUCCUGAAGGCACUUCCUGGCUUCUAUCUGCUUAUUAACACUAAACAGUACAACAUAAAUUGCAUGGAAAAUUCCACGACUCAUGGGUGGGUCUCAUCGUGGGAAGUUCCAAGACUCCUUGGAGGGUUCUCCUAUGGAUGCAGCACUAAUUGGUGGGAAAUGCUGCAGGCGGCAUUCCCUAGGCUACAGUUGCUUGUUAGUGAAGGGACUCUGGUCAAUAGCUGCUCUAUGGAGUUAAUAAAUGGCACCACUAUAAGAGAUGGAGCUGUGAGCACUCCUGUAACACCCCCAGUUUGCCUGA